rnacentral:rRNA from 1 species
UAGCGUAUAUUAAAGUUGUUGCAGUUAAAAAGCUCGUAGUUGGAUUUCUGGUGCAUUCCACUGGCCUAUUGGUUAACUCCAACUUGGCUCAUUUGGAAUACGCCAUCUUUAGGCAGACCCGUCGUGGCAUUAGGUUGUCGUGAUGGUUACGCCUAUCGUUUACUGUGAAGAAAUUAGGGUGUUCAAAGCAGGCUUAUGCCAUGAAUACGUUAGCAUGGAAUAAUGAGAUAGGAUUUCGGUACUAUUUUGUUGGUUUGUGUACGGAAAUAAUGAUUAACAGGAACAGUGUUGUGGGUAUUCGUAUUUCGUUGUCAGAGGUGAAAUUCUUGGAUUUACGAAAGACGAACGACUGCGAAAGCAUUUACCAAGGAUGUUUUCAUUAAUCAAGAACGAAAGUUAGGGGAUCGAAGAUGAUUA